AUGAGUGGUGAUUGGUUUGUUACCGGUGGUUGGCUCUUUGCUCGCGCAACAACUUCCACCUGGCAUACCUCCUCAGUUAUGCGUCAAGGCUUGUAUCACCUUGAGUUUAUUCUACGUUUUCUGUAUUGCAUACCUAUCAAUGGUAUUAUUUUGAUCGAUUGGAGCCCCUUUUCAUAUUGUUGCCUUUGUUGUUGCAUGUUGAACCCUAAAGCUGUAUGUAUGAUCCAUCAUGUUGAUGCACUUUGCAUCGAUUUUGUGGCCCAUUGAGCUUUGUUUUGUUUCUUGGAUACGAAAAAUGAAGUGGGCAUGGGGGUCUGUCAUGAUCCUCGUUUUACCCUCGCACGGUGUUCUCGAAUGACGGUUCAUGCACGCCUAGGCUCGUACCUGCGUGAUGAUCUAUGUCAAAGAGGAAUGC
rnacentral:misc_RNA from 1 species